UACCCCCCUGCAUAGCGGGUUUACAUGUUUGCGUGUGUAUAGGAGGCCAGUUAUGUGAGACGAAACUUCACGCUCAAGGACAUCAACCUGCUCAAGAUUCUCCUUUCCAGAUACGUCACAAAGCUCUAAUUUUAGGAGCGUUAUAAUAUUAAGUGGGUAGUCAUGGCAAUUGUAAUACCCCCCCCCCCUACCACUUAGUGGCUUGUAUCCUCAGCUGGCCAUUGCUAACGACUGUAACUCCAACAGAAAAGACUUGAAACAAGUCUACCACACAAAGAUGAAGUCGUUUGUACUAUUACAUCCGACCAGUAUAUUCUCCACCAGUCCGGAGUAUCUUCACCAUGAGGGCACGGACAACAAGUGCAAAGAGCUACUGGCUUGUGUUGAUCUCCUGGAGACCAAUAAACCAUACCUGGUCAAUGCCGUGAGGGUGCCAGCUCUGCAGACCAUCUCCUUGUUCUCACAGAGUUUGGACACUAACAAUAA